AAGCGCCCUUCCCUUCCCUUCCUGUCCACAGGGGCUUUUGGACUGUUUCCCAGGAACCCUAGUCCAUCAGGGCCGUUGCUCCCCAGAUCCAACGGCCUGGAUCAGUCGGCGACUCUGCCGCGCUGCUUCGAUCGCAGUUCCUCCUCCAUAAACCUAGCCCGUAGAUAGAGACACCUAUACACAUCAUUCUCUCUCUCUCCACAUCCCCACCCCUCUCUCUCUCUCUCUCGAUCGAUCGAUCCCUCGACGAGAUUUGGGUGAAUCGUGCUCUGUUUCUGCCGAUCUCCAACCCCCCUCUCUCUCUCUCUCUCUCUCUCUCUCCUUCUCUGUUUUCUGCGUCUGCGGUUGUUCAUGUGGGUAGAGGAAGGGUGGGGGAAAAAGAGGAAAAAGAUUGGAUUUUUAUUUGUCCGUUUCUCGGCGAUCGUCGUGUUAAUUCGUGGGUCGGGGUCGAUCGGCUCGAUUGGCGGUUCGGUCGAUUGGUCGCACGUGUCCCCUUUCCUUGGAAACCGACCGGGGAGGGCAGAGUGAAGUCUUCAGUCUCGUCGCGCGGAUCGACUCAGUGAGCUCCCCUCCCAUGGCGUGUUCGGAGGACGCUCCUCGUACUCGACCGUAGUCGUUUUUUUUUCUCUUGGGGAAGGAAAGGGAAGGGGGGGGAGGUCUUUCUUUUUUGUCCGUACAUGGUCCGGACCCGGUGUUGGUCAGAAGGGGGCACCGAGCGUCGCGUCCCGUGAAGUGGGUCGUCGCGGGAGGGAUCGGCUGAGUGGGCGGCCGGGUGAUUUGGCGAGCCGAGGGGGGCGGCGGGGUAGGAGAUCGAGCGGUCGGGCGGCGUCCGGUUGUGGAGCGCGGCGGCGAUGCCAUCGGUCGGCAUGCGACGGACGACGAGGGUUUCGGAGUGGUGAAGGGCGUCGACGGGGCGCGCGUGUUGCGCUCCGGCCGGCGCCUGUGGCCGGAGUCGGGCGAGGGCAAGCUCAGGAAGGGAGGCGGCGGCGAGAGGGAUGAGUGGUUUAGCAUCAUGGAUAGCAGAGGUGGGGGUGGUGGGAAUGGAGUUGUUGGUGUUGGUCUCAAGUCCAAGCAAGUUGGGUUGGCUAAGAAUGUGAGUCCGAAGCGUGAGGUUGCUGUAAUUGAAAUGGGGGACGAUGAAUUCGAGAAUCCUGAUGUCAAAACUGAGUCUUUGAUCGGAAGGGACAAUGAGGAUAGGAUGACUGGGAUUGUCUAUAGCAGGAAAAGGAAGAGAGAGGCGGUGCCUGGCUUCGAGAUUGGUGAUGGUAAGAAGUAUGGGAUUCACUUCUCUAGGAGGCAGAAGAGGAAGAGUGGUGAUGCUCAGGGAGAGGAUUUGCAGGGUCCUCGGGCACUGUCUGUGGUUUUGGAGCUGCCACAUCGAGAAAAUUCUGCAGUUGUUGGCCUUUUGCGUUCUAUUCUGCAGUACAUGAAGAGGGUCUGCAUUAGAUUGUCUGCACUGUCAAAGCUUGUCAUGUCAGAGCCGCUUCGGGGUGUCUAUGCAUUGCAUGGAAUUCAUUUUUCACGGGAUUGUGCUUCCAUUAUCAGCUCGGGGACAUGCAAGUUCUUUGGAUCCAGGCAGUUUACACCUAUUUUUUGUGUGGAUUUUUCUGCAGUUCCCUUUUGUUUCAUGUACAUGCAUCAUCGUAUGCUUCUCCGACAUCAGCUUGUGCCAUUGGCUCCUGUAAAUAAUUCAGCGUUGGUGCAAACAAAUGAUGGUUUGGUGACUGUGGAAGAGGAGGAACUCUCGGACGAAGAUUAUUCUUUUUUUGCCUUCAGAAAGCAAAUCAGCCAGUAAUGUUGAAGUUACAGGGAGUGAGUUGCGGCUGCACGUGUCUUCUAGAGGUGCUAAGGUUGACAAUCGAUCUCGCAACAUAGAUAUGGAUCGAAUUCUCGUGGCAUAAGAAAAAGGAGGAGUCAACUGAGGUCAAGGAGGAGAGUUAGAAAUCCUUCACUAGCAUGUGUGAGGAAAUGUAAUGGAGCAUUAGCCUCAGACUUAGUCAGUGCUAAGAAGAAUGGAUUCCCAUUUUCUUCAAUAAUUUCUGGUGACAAGAGAAGAUCUGUUCGGACUAGGUCUGCUGGAAGUAUUGAUGAGAUGAGCGCUACUGUGACCAGAGUUCAACAGGAUACAGAUAUAUUAUCCUGUAAUGCAAAUUUAUUAAUUAGCGAUUCAGACAAGUGUUCCAGGGAAGAAAGUGGAAAUGUCAUGUUGGAACUUUUGGGCUCUGGCGAGUGGUCUCUUGUUUUCAAAAGUGGGGGGGUGGUGAGAUAUGCUCACAAGGCACAAGAAGCUAUGAAACCCUCUUUCUCCAACCGUUUCACCCAUGCAAUGGUCUGGACAGGGGAUAAUGGUUGGAAAUUGGAAUUUCCUGACCGAGAUGAUUGGUCGAAAUUUAAGGAUCUUUACAAAGAGUGUUUUGAACAGAAAUAAGCAUGUUGUAUCUCCUAAGGCUCCUCCUGUUAAGAUAAUACCUGUUCCAGGGUAUGUGAAGUAGUAGGCUAUGGAGAAGAAAAUUCUGUACCCUUUACAAGACCAGAAAAUUAUAUUACCUUGAGUGCUGAUGAGGUGUCAAGAGCUAUGGCCAGUAAGACCGCAAGUUAUGACAUGGACUGUGAAGAUGAGGACUGGCUUCAUAAAUUCAAUGAUGAGUUCUUUGCUGAAAAUGAUCUGGCUGAGCGUGUUUCAGAGGACACCUUUGAGCUUAUGAUUGAUGCAUUUGAGAAGGCUUUCUAUUGCAAUCCUCAUGAUUUCUUGAAUGAUAAACCAGACCCUAAUCUUAGACUGGACAUAGAGAGAAAGGAUGUUGUGGAAGCUGUGUACCGUUAUUGGAUGAAGAAGCGGAAGCAGAGACGAUUGGCAUUGGUUAGAUUAUUUCAGGGUCAUCAAUCGAGGAAAGCUCCCUUGGUUCCAAAGCCUGCCCUGCGUAAGCGGAGGUCAUUUAAAAGGCAGGGAAGCCAGCAUGGACGAGGCAAGCAACCGGGUCUCUUGCAAGCAAUGGCAGCGGAAAGAGAUGCUAUAGAGGAACAGAGCGCCUUGCGGAAAGUCGAGGAAGCUCGAGCAUCAGCUAACAGGUCCAUGGAACUCGCAAUCGUGAAACGCCAGAGGGCUCAGUCCCUCAUGGGAAACGCGGACUUGGCCGCCUACAGAGCCACCGUGGCUCUCAGGAUUGCCGAAGCAGCUCAAGUCAUGGAGUCCCCCGAUGCAGCAGCCGCCCAUUUUCUCGACUAACAGUGACAGGAGAAGCGGGUACAGUCGGUGUGCGAAUCGGAACUGCCCAUGUUCUUUUCUCCUCUAAUUCAAGAAGGGUUUUGAUCUUCUGGAGCUGUCGGAGGCAAUUGUGAGCCGCGGUUUUUUCAAGAGGCUUUCGGGGAAAUUGUAAUUUUUGUACAGAAUUGGUUGAAUGUACAUGCUGUAUCACUAUGACCUCACAUCUGCAGCAGCAGAUGGGUUACGCAGGAAAUUUCUUUCGAGUUCGUUGGACGAACAAAAAGAGAGGAAAAAAAAAAAAAGAGGUGGAAAAUACAAGAAAUAUUUAAGUCAAUAAUAUAUGGACUGCCAUGUUUUUGUACA